UACGUAGGGUGCAAGCGUUGUCCGGAAUUAUUGGGCGUAAAGAGCUCGUAGGCGGUUUGUCGCGUCGGCUGUGAAAACUCGGGGCUCAACCCCGAGCCUGCAGUCGAUACGGGCAAACUAGAGUGUGGUAGGGGAGACUGGAAUUCCUGGUGUAGCGGUGAAAUGCGCAGAUAUCGGGAAGAACACCCGUGGCGAAGGCGGUUCUCUGGGACGGUACUGACGCUGAGAAGCGAAAGCAUGGGGAGCGAACAGG
rnacentral:rRNA from 1 species